AUUGAACGCUGGCGGCAUGCCUUACACAUGCAAGUCGAACGGCAGCACGGGAGCAAUCCUGGUGGCGAGUGGCGAACGGGUGAGUAAUAUAUCGGAACGUGCCCGGUCGUGGGGAUAACGUAGCGAAAGCGUACGCUAAUACCGCAUACGAUCUACGGAUGAAAGCGGGGGAUCGCAAGACCUCGCGCGAUUGGAGCGGCCGAUAUCAGAUUAGGUAGUUGGUGAGGUAAAGGCUCACCAAGCCGACGAUCUGUAGCUGGUCUGAGAGGACGACCAGCCACACUGGGACUGAGACACGGCCCAGACUCCUACGGGAGGCAGCAGUGGGGAAUUUGGACAAUGGGCGCAAGCCUGAUCCAGCAAUGCCGCGUGGCAGGAUG
rnacentral:rRNA from 1 species